GAUGGGAAUGUGUAACGAUGGUGAGAAACAUGUCGAAUUGUCUUUGAUGAUGACAAAGAGAUUCAAUUUAUAUGGGCUUUUUGGUGUUUGAAUAUUCGGCCCACAGGUAAUUGGACUGGUAGCCCACGUCCGUCAAGACUGCAUGCCAAAUUAAAAAGUUUCAAGUUUAGCUUUAGUAAGAUGUUGAUGAGUGUGUUGAAGAUGGAACGAGGAGAACCACUUGGUUUGGAGUUAUAAAAAAAGAUUUCCUCACAUUUAUGAAAUGCUUUGUCUCCAUUCCAAUUAACCUUCCGUUGACACACUAUGGCAAAGCCAUCAAGGCUCGUAGCAGGAUCACAUCCACAAUGAAACAAAUAAUAUUAAUGAGGAUGCAGCCACAAGCAAAAAGGUAAUCCCAUUUGGUGGUGGAGUGAGGAUGUGUCCUGGAUCGGAGCUUGCCAAAUUAGAAGCAGCUUUUUUUUCUACGUCAUCUUGUCCUCAAUUAUAUAAUCAAAGAUAAUUGUAUAGAACGACAAACUAAUAAUAUAAAAAUAAAUAUAGUAGUUAUCUUUAA